CCUACGGGGUGCAGCAGUGGGGAAUAUUGGACAAUGGGCGAAAGCCUGAUCCAGCCAUGCCGCGUGUGUGAAGAAGGCCUUCGGGUUGUAAAGCACUUUCAGUGGGGAAGAAAGCCUUGGGGCUAAUACCCUCGAGGAAGGACAUCACCCACAGAAGAAGCACCGGCUAACUCCGUGCCAGCAGCCGCGGUAAUACGGAGGGUGCGAGCGUUAAUCGGAAUUACUGGGCGUAAAGCGCGCGUAGGCGGUCUGAUAAGCCGGUUGUGAAAGCCCCGGGCUCAACCUGGGAACGACAUCCGGAACUGUCAGGCUAGAGUGCAGGAGAGGAAGGUAGAAUUCCCGGUGUAGCGGUGAAAUGCGUAGAGAUCGGGAGGAAUACCAGUGGCGAAGGCGGCCUUCUGGACUGACACUGACGCUGAGGUGCGAAAGCGUGGGUAGCAAACAGGAUUAGAUACCCCUGUAGUC
rnacentral:rRNA from 1 species